rnacentral:rRNA from 1 species
ACGAACGCUGGCGGCGUGCUUAACACAUGCAAGUCGAACGGAAAGGCCCUGCUUUUGUGGGGUGCUCGAGUGGCGAACGGGUGAGUAACACGUGAGUAACCUGCCCUUGACUUUGGGAUAACUUCAGGAAACUGGGGCUAAUACCGGAUAGGAGCUCCUGCUGCAUGGUGGGGGUUGGAAAGUUUCGGCGGUUGGGGAUGGACUCGCGGCUUAUCAGCUUGUUGGUGGGGUAGUGGCUUACCAAGGCUUUGACGGGUAGCCGGCAUGAGAGGGUGACCGGCCACAUUGGGACUGAGAUACGGCUAAGACUCCUACGGGAGGCAGCAGUGAGGAAUAUUGCACAAUGGGCGGAAGCCUGAUGCAGCAACGCCGCGUGCGGGAUGACGGCCUUCGGGUUGUAAACCGCUUUCGCCUGUGACGAAGCGUGAGUGACGGUAAUGGGUAAAGAAGCACCGGCUAACUACGUG